rnacentral:lncRNA from 1 species
GGCGAGGUGGUUGACACGAUCAACUAGAAGAGUUUGGAUAUGAGCUCGUUGGUACGGAUGCAUCUUAAAAACACAGCGCUAAUUUAAACA